GUCAGCUUUUCUAUUAUUGUGUUCACAUGGCAAGAAAAACGACACCGCUAUGCUACGUAACUUUCUACGUAAGGUGCUCGGUAUUUCACUUAGGCUACGUAAAUCUCUACGUAAGGUGCUCGGUAUUAGAUCUACCAACGGGUGGAAGCCGCGUGCUGUGCACUGCACGGCAGACAUUGUGUUGCAGUGCAGUCCGUGUUCGGAUGUGCAUGCGCAAGGAACUUCCUUCUUUGGAACUGCUUCUUGUAUGAGCUGUUUCGGAUAUUUCGACUCCUGGCCUGGCUUAUUUCGUUUCGGCGCUGCUGAGACCUCCUUUCGCGGAAUAUUACUGACAGUGUACGAAGAACGCGAGUUCACGAAAAUCGUGGACUACCAGUUUGAAGUCAUUGAACUACUUCCAAAAGUUGUAUCGACAUCAACAGGAUUACGAUUUCAGUGCAAUAUGAUGCAGGAUGACCUUAUCACGAUAACCCAUGAUUAUAAACCAUUAUAAACACAGAAUCAACAAAAACAUCUGCGACAAGUACCUUGUUACAUUUCUCAAAUAAAUCUGAUCGAGGGUGGGGAAAUCUGAAAUAUCUGAAAGGCAAGACAAUUUUAUGACAGUCAUGAAACACCCUAGUAAAAUAAAUAAAAUAAUAAUAAUAAUAAUAAUAAUGAAAUUCUGCUACAGCAACAUGCACAGA